UAAUUAAGCAGAGGAAAAGUCACUAAACAGGAUUGACUUAGUAAGGGCGACUGAAGUGUCAAUAGCUCACAUUGUGAAUCCGCACUUUUGGGUGCUGAAUUGUGGUUUGGAGAUUCUUGCAAUCUAUGGCUGGGCUAAGUCCCUUGGAAUGGGGCAGCUCAAAGGGCGAAACUCCUGUAUGCCUGGCAAUGGAAGUGAGAAUCAAAGAGUCGAGUUGUUUGGGAUUGCAGCUCUAAGAGGGUGGUAAAUUCCAUCAGAAGCAAAAUAUUGGUGGAAGACCGAUAGUGAACAAGUACCAUGAGGGAAAUAUGCAAAGAACUUUGAAAAGAGAGUUAAAAAGUACCUGAAAUUGCUGUUAAGGAAGCAAAGGAAAACAGUGUCAGUUGAGCCAUAUUUCCCUGUUUGCUUGCAGUUGGGGCACUGUGGCCAGCAAAGUCUGCUUUGAUUAGCUCAGAUGAAAUCACUAUAAAGGAAUAACCCUUUUGCAGUGUGUGUUUGAGUUGAUUGAUGUGGACAAAAAGAUUUUCUUUUCCCCG
rnacentral:rRNA from 1 species